rnacentral:rRNA from 1 species
AUCUGGGCGGCGAAAUUCAGGAUGGCUGGCGGGCCUUUCGCGAGGCACGUCCGGCCGUUUGAUGUUUUCGCCGCCGUUGCAGACGUCGCGACCUGUUCGUCGUCGGUCCCUGCUCGGAGGAAUCGCGAUCGAGCUCGUUGUGGGCGCGUUUCGGCGCGUCACACGGCGAAGACGCGGCUCUCUGGCCGACGACGGACAGUACGCAACGGUGUUCGGCGCUGUGUCUCGCACGCGGCGUCCGGUGCCGGUCAGCGACGAUUUCUUCGGGCCUCUUUCCGACCCGUCUUGAAACACGGACCAAGGAGUCUAACAUGCGCGCGAGUCGCGGGGUGUCGAGCGUACCACGGUGCGCUCGUUACCACACGAAACCCGUACGUUGAAGGCGUAAUGAAAGUGAAUGGGGAAGAUGGUGUUCCGAGUUGACGUACCGUGAUCGAGUAUCGCGGCCGGACGCCCGCAUUCCCGGGGCGUCUCAACGACUCGUCGCGGAUGCGGACGGUCGUCUCUUCGGGGGCGGCCGUCGGUCUGCGACGGAUCGA